rnacentral:rRNA from 1 species
CAGUCGCCGCGGGAACACGAAGGGUGCAAGCGUUAAUCGGAAUUACUGGGCGUAAAGCGUGCGUAGGCGGUGAGUUAAGUCUGCUGUGAAAUCCCCGGGCUCAACCUGGGAAUGGCAGUGGAUACUGGCUCGCUAGAGUGUAUCAGAGGAUGGUGGAAUUCCCGGUGUAGCGGUGAAAUGCGUAGAGAUCGGGAGGAACAUCAGUGGCGAAGGCGGCCAUCUGGGACAACACUGGCGCUGAGGCACGAAAGCGUGGGGAGCAAACAGGAUUAGAUACCCCAGUAGUCCCUGUCUCUUAUAC